rnacentral:lncRNA from 1 species
ACAACAAUUGAUAAUGUAUAAAUAAACUCGCUCAUGAAUUAUUUUAAGAACAUUCAAUUUUUAUUCCAAAUAUAUUAUUUGGAGUUCUUCCAUGCAUUUUUUUUUGAUAAGAUUGGAGUUGUUCCAUGCAUUUCAAUAUUGCUUAGAUGUAAUAUAAUCAUAGACCUCCAAAUGUUUCAGCUGCGUGAGUAGCAUGACUAAAACCAGGUUUCACCACUUCCUUUAAAUUUGAAUUUGUUGAGCAAUGACAAGAUAUCUUGUCCACCAAACCUCGACCAUUCCUGCAAACUUGAAAAAUCUACCAUCAAAAGUUUUUUGGUUAAUGGUGUUGAUUUAUAUGUUUAUAGAAAUUAAUUAUUCUAAAUUGUAACAGAUUAUGUUGCAACUAUAAUUCUAUUGUUGUCACAGUAAUUAACUACUAAAGACAGAGUAAAGAACAUAAGAAUUUAAUUUGGUUCAGACACAAUUGUGCCAUACAUCCACAAGGACAUGCAAAUACGAUCUCACUAGUUCAGAUUUAGAAUGUACAUUAAUAUGACUUAAUAAAAAUAAAAUAAAGACUCCCUCUUUAAUUUUUAUGCCGUUCUUGAACACAACUCGAACUUCGUGUUUUCUCCACAACAGCUCCUCUCCGCGAACAUUGAACCUUCUUUAAGCCUGAACUCCCU